CGUAGGGUGCGAGCGUUAAUCGGAAUUACUGGGCGUAAAGCGUGCGCAGGCGGUUUAGUAAGACAGGCGUGAAAUCCCCGGGCUCAACCUGGGAACUGCGCUUGUGACUGCUAAGCUAGAGUACGGCAGAGGGGGUGGAAUUCCACGUGUAGCAGUGAAAUGCGUAGAGAUGUGGAGGAACACCAAUGGCGAAGGCAGCCCCCUGGGUCGAUACUGACGCUCAUGCACGAAAGCGUGGGUAGCAAACAGGGUUAGAUACCCUGGUAGUCCACGCCCUAAACGAUGUCAACUAGGUGUUGGGAGGGUAAAACCCUUUAGUACCGGAGCUAACGCGUGAAGUUGACCGCCUGGGGAGUACGGCCGCAAGGUUA
rnacentral:rRNA from 1 species